AUUGAACGCUGGCGGCAGGCUUAACACAUGCAAGUCGAACGGAGUGGCGGACGGGUGAGUAAUGCUUGGGAAUCUAGCUUAUGGAGGGGGAUAACUACGGGAAACUGUAGCUAAUACCGCGUACCAUAGGAUGAGCCCAAGUGGGAUUAGGUAGUUGGUGGGGUAAAGGCAUACCAAGGCGACGAUCCGUAGCUGGUCUGAGAGGAUGAUCGGACACACUGGAACUGGGACACGGUCCAGACUCCUACGGGAGGCAGCAGUGGGGAAUAUUGGGCAAUGGGCGAAAGCCUGAUCCAGCCAUGCCGCGUGGGUGAAGAAGGUCUUCGGGUUGUAAAGCACUUUAAGUUGGGAGGCGUUACCAACAGAAUAAGCACCGGCUAACUUCGUGCCAGCAGCCGCGGUAAUAC
rnacentral:rRNA from 1 species